rnacentral:rRNA from 1 species
GACGAACCGUGCGAACGUUAUUCGGAAUCACUGGGCUUAAAGCGCGUGUAGGCGGGCCGGCACGUCGGUCGCUGAAAUCCCCCGGCUCAACCGGGGAAGGGGCGCCGAUACGGCCGGCCUGGAGGGACGUAGGGGGGGCUGGAACUUCCGGUGGAGCGGUGAAAUGCGUAGAUAUCGGAAGGAACGCCGGUGGCGAAAGCGACGUGCUGGACCUCUUCUGACGCUGAGGCGCGAAAGCUAGGGGAGCAAACGGG